CCGCGCGAACGAUUUUCUUCCCGUCUCGACGUCGAGGUCGAAAUACUCACUCCCAUUGGAAGCAGCCGCCAUUGAUUAUUCUCUUCUUCUUCUCCGAGGUCGAUCAUGAUUUUGUUUUCUUCUUCUGCGAUCUCUUAGAGAUAUUUUUCUGUUUAUUUUGGGGUACAAUGUUAAAAUGUCACAAACUCAAAUUAAAAAUCAAACCCCCAAAGUUUCACUCCCUUCUCAAAUUCGCCCCAACACUUUCUCCCUUGUCCUAGCAACUCAAGGAGGACUGAUCAAGCGAGGCCGUUUCUUGAUAGCGGAGAGAAGCUUGUAAUUAUCCUGAUCGCUAGUGGCAAGAGCUUGACGAACAACCAUCUCACGAUCCGAACGAUCAAGCUUCCUUACGUCAAUCGUCUGCACGACGUUCCCGUCUGCUUAACCAGAAGUUUGCGACCGACGCAGAGUCGCUAAAUGGCUCCCUUGUCUCUGCGACGGUAACCGUCCCAUCGCAGCCCAUCUCAGAUCUUCUUCAUCCUGCUCCACUGUCUCAGCAUUCAACGGCCGCGCGAACGAUUUUCUUCCCGUCUCGACGUCGAUGUCCAAAUACUUACUCCCAUUGGAAGCAGCCGCCAUUGAUUAUUCUCUUCUUCUUCUCCGAGGUCGAUCAUGAUUUUGUUUUCUUCUUCUGCGAUCUCUUAGAGAUAUUUUUCUGUUUAUUUUGGGGUAUGAUGUUAAAAUGUCACAAACUCAAAUUAAAAAUCAAACCCCCAAAGUUUCACUCCCUUCUCAAAUUCGCCCCAACACUUUCUCCCUUGUCCUAGCAACUCAAGGAGGACUGAUCAAGCGAGGAUCAACCUCCGCCC
rnacentral:lncRNA from 1 species